UACGGAGGGUGCAAGCGUUUGUCCGGAUUUAUUGGGUUUAAAGGGUGCGUAGGCGGCCUUGUAAGUCAGUGGUGAAAGCCCCAUAGCUCAACUAUGGAACUGCCAUUGAUACUGCAAGGCUUGAGUACAGACGAGGUUGGCGGAAUGGAUGGUGUAGCGGUGAAAUGCAUAGAUACCAUCCAGAACUCCGAUUGCGUAGGCAGCUAACUAGGCUGUAACUGACGCUGAGGCACGAAAGCGUGGGGAUCAAACAGG
rnacentral:rRNA from 1 species